GCCCCUCUUACUUCUCCCGUGGAUCGCUUUCUCUCUUGCCCUUUCAGUUGGAAUAGGAGGUUCAGCUCUUGGGCCACGGUUUGUUGCAGAGGCAUUGGCUCCCAGUAAUCCUCCAUUUAAUUGUUAAAGACCGGAGUGUCCAUCCUCCUCUCACAAUCUACCCUUCAGGAAGCAGCCUUGCAGGAGUUGGUAUUGCUCUAUGCUGAAGAAGUGGACGAAACUGAUGUUCAAGUUGGAGAGCUUGGAUUAGCGGUGCACAGCAAGUCCAGUUCAAGCCAAGAAUCGGGUAGAGCCAUCCUGAUGAAGUCCGGUUCCAGGGUGUUCCCAUAACACGAGAACUCGUUGUUGGACAAUACUGCGCUGGUUGAGGGCUGGUUGGCUAGAUUUCCAAUGUUUGACCGGGUGGGUGGUAGAACAUCUGACAUGUCUGCAGUUGGUCUAUUUCCAGCAGCCCUUCAAAUGGGAGAAAUAUCAAAGUGAGGAGGAAGCAGCUCUUGGUUGGGGAAAGCGUGUCAGAAAAGCUGUUUCUUACAAAGAAGCAUAGGCAGCACAUCCAAGUGAAAUGGCCAACAAGGUAUUUUAUCUAAAUUGCCUUCUCUUAUGCUGUUUGGGCUGGAAACUUUAGAAUAAGAGUGUACUUGAUGGUGUUAAAUAUUGACCAAGGGAUUAUGAUGGUGAUCUAAUGGUUAUUUCUUUGAUAUGCUGAAGAAACUCUCUGUUGUGCUGAA